CCUACGGGAGGCUGCAGUGAGGAAUAUUGGUCAAUGGGCGGAAGCCUGAACCAGCCAAGUAGCGUGCAGGAUGACGGCCCUACGGGUUGUAAACUGCUUUUAUACGGGAAUAACGCGCCUUACGUUUAGGGCUUUGCCUGUACCGUAUGAAUAAGGACCGGCUAAUUCCGUGCCAGCAGCCGCGGUAAUACGGAAGGUCCGGGCGUUCUCCGGAUUUAUUGGGUUUAAAGGGUGCUCCGGCGGAGGUGCAAGUCAGCGGUAAAAUUGCGGGGCUCAACCCCGUACUGCCGUUGAAACUGCAGCCCUUGAGUGCGCGAGAAGUAUGCGGAAUGCGUGGUGUAGCGGUGAAAGGCAUAGAGAUCACGCAGAACUCCGAGUGCGAAGGCAGCAUACCGGCGCGCAAAUGACGCUCAUGCACGAAAGCGUGGGUAUCGAACAGGAUUAGAUACCCUUGUAGUC
rnacentral:rRNA from 1 species